UCCAACCUCAAUGAUUCUAUGAUUCUAUGAAAGUCACUUGAAAGUCAGAGCUUGUAUUUAAGGAACAGUUCUACGAUAUGGAUCUUGCUUUCAAAACUUUGCUGGAGACCUACGAAGAGUCAGACUUGGACACUUCUCUGAUAUUAAUGACUGUAAUUAUUUUCAGGUAAAUAUCACACUAGUAACAGAUUAGUUUCUCUCUGGUUUAAAAUACUCUAUUUGCUUACAGAUAUGCAGUUCAUGGGUGCAAACUCAGACUUCUCAAUUUUCUGCUCAAUGGUGCUCUAGCAUGUUUUUGUGUUGUUUUUCUGCCUUCUCCAAAUCUUCAUCACUUUGAACCUGUAGUGUGCUCGUCAUGAUGUCACACAAAACAAAUGCUCUUGAGAGAUUUUUCACGCAACACUGCAUUAACAGGGCCAUAAGUUUUUACAGACUUUUCUAAUAGCUGCAAGCUAAUUUCAAAAUGUUUUUCAAAUCUCCUGUUGUUUCUUAUUUUCAAGCCUUUUGACACCAUGGUAGAGCAAUGCACAAUAAUAAUAACAAUAACAACAAUAAUAAUAAUUAAAAAAAAUGUGUUGUUUUAAUUGCACAUAAUUAGUUUCAGUAUGUCCCUCUGUAUGUUCAGAUCCUGUCUACUCUGCUCACUACUUCAAAAUCUAUUGCUUACGAACAUAAAUUCACAUUUACAAGAGUUUGUUGACCAGGUUAAUGAGACAAAUCUGUUUCAACACCCCCUACCCUACCCUACCCCUACCCCUAUCACAGGUAGAGCCAUUUUCAUCUGAAUUGGAGCAAAGAUCAUCUCUCAGGUGCCCUUCCACAGAAAUAUGGGUCCACCUUCAGCCACAGAACUGGAAUGCGAAUCUAUACCCCCCACUGUUGCCGUUGCCACAGCACACAUUUAAAGUAGACUUUAGCAUAGGAGCCUCAUCAAGGAAUUUCAGUGUAACCCUGACAUUUCAUGGCUUUUUCCAAGUUUGAACAUGACAUACAGUAGUAUCAGAGUUGUCCUUACUUCAUUUACUGUUAUUCUGCAAUAUUCUGUCAAAAAACUGUCAUCACUGUCUUGUGUAAGGACACAGCUGAACCUGUGGAGGAAGUUAGUGUGAGCUGUUGAUGUGCCAGUGGGAUAGACAUCUGAGUGAACCGUACCUUUUAAUUACAAAUAUACUCUCAGCCUUGAUAGACCACAUAUGAAGAAAGAAGUUAAAAAAAAAAAAAAAAGGAAGAAAUGGAAAAGUACUGUAAAUAAACAAUUACUACUAU
ensembl:lncRNA